rnacentral:lncRNA from 1 species
GAUUUUUAGUCAUUGACUCUAAAAAUAAUUUGAUUGAAAAGAACACAAUAUUUGAAACUAGAGAUGCUGAAUUUUUUGAAAAUAGAUUUCCGUUUAAAGAAAAGUCUGAAGGAUCAAGCAGUUCUUUUAGUAUUCCUCCUAGUGUUAGAGAGGAGUCAUCUGAAUUAGAAGAAGCUGAAAUUAGGAGAAGCAAAAGACCUAGGACCACUACUUCUUUCGGUCCUGACUUUAUAACCUACUUAGUAGAGAAUGAUCCUAGUACUUUUGGUGAAGCUAUGUUUUCACCAGAUUCUAUAUUUUGGAAGGAAGCUGUAAAUAAUGAAUAUGAUUCAAUUAUGUCUAAUAAUACUUGGGAGUUAGUGGACUUACCUCAAGGAUGUAAGACAAUUGGGUGCAGAUGGUUGUUUAAGAAAAAACUUAAACCUGAUGGUUCAAUUGAUAAGUAUAAAGCAAGACUUGUAGCUAAAGGCUAUAAACAAAAGGAAGGAGUUGACUUCUUUGAUACUUAUUCACCCGUUACUAGGAUUACCUCUAUUAGGAUGUUAAUUGCAAUUGCCUCACUGUAUGAUCUUAUUAUACAUCAAAUGGAUGUCAAAACUGCAUUUUUAAAUGGAGACUUAGAAGAGGAGAUUUAUAUGGAUCAGCCUGAAGGAUUUGUUGUAGAAGGCCUUGAGGAUAAAGUAUGUAGACUUAAAAAAUCCCUUUAUGGCCUUAAACAAGCUCCUAAACAAUGGCACGAAAAAUUUGAUACAGUUUUGACAUCAAGUGGUUAUGUGAUAAAUGAAGCAGAUAAAUGCAUAUAUAGCAAAUUUGAAAAUAAUUGUGGUGUGAUAAUUUGCUUAUAUGUUGAUGAUAUGCUGAUUAUGGGAACUAGUUUAGAUGUAGUUAAUAAAACUAAGCGGUUUCUAAACAAGCACUUUGAAAUGAAAGAUUUGGGUGUUGCUGAUGUUAUUCUAGGAAUCAAAAUAGUAAAACAUUCUGAAGGAAUUAUUUUGACCCAAUCACAUUAUGUAGAAAAAGUGCUUAAGAAGUUUAAUCAAUACAACUGUAUUCCUGCUAAAACACCUUAUGAUGCAAGCCGUCAUUUGAGAAAACAUUCAGGUCCUAGUGUUUCCGCUUUAGAGUAUGCUAAAGUAAUCGGCAG